rnacentral:rRNA from 1 species
GAUGAACGCUAGCUACAGGCUUAACACAUGCAAGUCGAGGGGUAACGAGAGGAAAGCUUGCUUUCCUUGUCGACGACCGGCGCACGGGUGAGUAACGCGUAUCCAACCUGCCCCCAACUAGGGAAUAACCUUGCGAAAGUAAGACUAAUACCCUAUAAUUUCCUCAGAUGUCAUCUGACGAGGAAUAAAGAUUUAUCGGUUGUGGAGGGGGAUGCGUCUGAUUAGCUUGUUGGCGGGGUAACGGCCCACCAAGGCAACGAUCAGUAGGGGUUCUGAGAGGAAGGUCCCCCACAUUGGAACUGAGACACGGUCCAAACUCCUACGGGAGGCAGCAGUGAGGAAUAUUGGUCAAUGGGCGGAAGCCCGAACCAGCCAAGUAGCGUGCAGGAUGACGGCCCUAUGGGUUGUAAACUGCUUUUAUACAGGAAUAAAGUUAGCCACGUGUGGUUAUUUGUAGGUACUGUAUGAAUAAGGACCGGCUAAUUCCGUGCCAGCAGCCGCUGUAA